UUUUUUCAAACAUGUCCUAUUGUUUAAUAAUAUUAGGUCGGGCCUGCCCAAUGAUUGUAGAUUUAUUUAAUGGCCGCAGUACAUUGACUGUGCAAAGGUAGCAUAAUCAUUUGUCUUUUAAUUGUGGACUGGAAUGAAUGGUUUGAUGAGGGAUAUACUUUUUUUAUUUUAAAAUUAUGAAUUUAUUUUUUUAGUUAAAAAACUAAAAUUUAUAUAUAGGACGAGAAGACCCUAUAGAACUUCAUUAAAAUUUAUUAAUAUAAAUUUUAGUUUUAUUGUUUUAUAUUAAUAAAUUAUAAUUUUGUUGGGGAGACAUAUAAAUUAUAAUAACUUUAUAUUAAAAUAUUUCAUUAAUUAAUGAUAGUUAAUUGAUCCUUUAUUAAAGAUUAUAAGAAUAAGUUACCUUAGGGAUAACAGCGUUAUUUAAUUGGAGAGUUCUUAUUGAUAGUUAAGUUUGCGACCUCGAUGUUGGAUUAAAAUUAUUUUAUGGUGUAGUAGUUAUAUAAAUAAGUCUGUUCGACUUUUAAAUUUUUACAUGAUCUGGUUUCA
rnacentral:rRNA from 1 species